UUGGUUCAGGGCUGCUCCAAUCGGAAUUCCGGUUGGAGUAGAUCGGGAAAUGUUGAAUUUUGUUUUGGUCAUACUUUUGACUCGGGACUCCGUUUUGGGAGUUCUUUAUAUCGUUGGAAAGCUCGUUUUGAGCUCUAUGUGAUUAUCUAUAUUUUAAAUGCCAUGAAUAUAUUUUAUAAAUGUGAAAUCAGGGGUUAACCCUAUUUGUGAAAAUCCCGGAUUGUGUGACUAGGAUUAUCGGCACCUGGUCAGGAGCACCUGGAGAUUUGGAAUCUCUACCUUUGCGGGACAACAGGAAAGGGUAAGACUAUUGCUGAUCAGCCAUGAGUGCAGGAGCUGGACGAAGAAUGUACAUGUCCGAGCCAUAUCAGACCAAGCGGGUUGGGGUCUACCAGUGUUGUAUUUUUGAGACUCUAUUUUGCCGCUUAGGCCGGCUGAAAGAAAAGGACUUGUAAUAAUAUUUUGUAAAUGUUUUUGGGAUCCCAACUUCUGUAACUUUUAGAUUGUAAAGUUUAAAUUAUUACAAGUUUUAUUUUAA